UCCAGAGCCUCCAGCCUUCUCAUUCAAAACCUCCAAAGCCUUUUCUCUUCUCCACUCACUUCCCCCCUCCACAUUCCUUCAUCUCAUCUCCCCCCCUUCUCUCCCUCUCCCUUGUAUACACACACACACACACACACACACACACGGAGGUCAGGAAGUAUCCACCAAAUGGAAGAAGGAGAAGAGGAAGGACAGGUGUAGAGGAAGGAGCUGGACAUGAAGGACCUCCAAUACAGUCAGUGACACUGAGCAGAAAGCUGAAGGAGGAUCUGAGGAAUGCUGGAGAAAGGCGGAUCUGCUGCUUCAGCGAUUUCACUAGACAGGAUGAGACCUUUAUGAGGAAGUGAUUAUUGUUUUUUGGUCAGCAGAAGCUCAGAGGUUACACUGCUGUCCCACUGACCACAAGGCGUGUGUUCAAAUCAACUGACACAGAGACACUGAGGAGUGAGAGGAAUAAAAGGUGUGUGUGUGUGUGUUCCUCUGAAGGUACUUCCUACGUCUCUCCGCCUGACUUCCCUCACCUCACCAUGCAGCGCUGACCCCGGCCAGACACCGUGUCUGUGAUGUAAAUGUCUGUGAACUUUCACACACAAGACAGCGCUGAUGAAAAGCAGAUACACUGCAGGAAAAAAAAGAUGAACUGGCGACUUAUCGACCUGCAUCUCUCUUUUUAUCGGUUCCUUUCUUCUACACUCCCUUCAUCUCCUCAUUCACCUGCAGCUCUGCAGGCUCUCGCUCCAC